CUUUCCCCUAGAGCCAUCUGUGUGGCUAUUGUGUCACAUGUACUGAUCAGUAUGUGACAGAUAGGAGAGAGGCUAUGCCUAGGCACAGUGUUCUAAUCUAUGAACAUUGGAAUGAUUAGUAGCCUAACAUU